rnacentral:rRNA from 1 species
AGCCGAUGACUUGACUUCAUCCCAAAUAGUGUUUUGGGGCAUGAGUAUGUUGUAGUAACGAUGUUCGCGUCUACUUUGUGGUUCUUGACGUACGGCCACGACCCCUUGCAUCCUGUGUGGUGCCUGGUGUGGGGUUUGUGUGUUAUGUCAAUAGAGUUUCGGUGGUUAUAGCGUCAGGGAAACGCCCGGUCACAUUCCGAACCCGGAAGCUAAGGCUGACAGCGCCGAUGGUACUGCGAGGGGGACCUCGUGGGAGAGUAGGACACCGCCGAAC